rnacentral:rRNA from 1 species
AUUGAACGCUGGCGGCAGGCCUAACACAUGCAAGUCGAGCGGAUGGAGGGAGCUUGCUCUUGUCUUCAGCGGCCGACGGGUGGGUAAUGCCUAGGAAUCUACCUGGUAUUGGGGGAUAACGUCCGUACACGGGCCCUAAUCUCGCAUCCGUCCUGAUGGUGAACCUGGGGGUUCUUCGGUCCUCGCCCUUUCUGCUGUCCCUAGGUCGGAUUACCUAGUUGGUGGGGUAAAGGCCUACCAAGGCGACGAUCCGUAACUGGACUGAGAGGAUGACCAGGCACACUGGAACUGAGACACGGUCCAGACUCCUACGGGAGGCAGCAGUGGGGAAUAUUGGGCAAUGGGCGAAAGCCUGAUCCAGCCAUGCCGCGUGAGUGAAGAAGGUCUUCGGAUUGUAAAGCACUUUAAGUAGGGAGGAAGGGAAGUAAGUGAAUACCUUGCUGUUUUGACGUUACCAACAGAAUAAGCACCGGCUAACUUCGUG